CUCAAGGACAUUGGCAAUGAGAGAACAAGCUCAAACAUCUCUGUACCUCCCUCCCCAAAGGGAACAAGAUGAACUCUCUUCCUGCAGCGCCUGAGCCACGUCAUCAUGUGAAUUCAGCCUCCUUUCCCACCUGACCUUUACAGCCACUUUCCAGCAGCAGAAUGAAAUUUCCUGAUUGAAGCGCCAAUGAAGAAGGAAAUGUUCCAGGAAAGGGAAGAGGCCAACAGAGCUACAAACUCAAUAACGCAAGUAGUUGGGAGGACAGACAAAGUAGGUUUCUUCCAGAUGACCAGCAGCACCUGCAACUUGUUAGAAAUGCAAUUUCUCCAGCCCCAGCCCAGACAUACCCAAUCGGAAACUCAUGCUGGGGCCCAGCCGCCUAUAUUCUAACAAGGCUCCAGGUGAUUCUGAUGCAGGCUCAAGUUUGAGAACCGUCGUUCUAAAGUAUAAUGAAAGAGAAAGAAGUACUGACACAGAGAGUUGGACUCUGUCUCCAUGACACCAAAUCAAGAACUGCCUCCUUCUCCAUCUUUCGCCACCACCUGGGAGACUCUGUUGGCAGAAGACAGAGCAGAGCAGUUUCUGUG